rnacentral:rRNA from 1 species
CCGGCGACCGGCGCACGGGUGAGUAACACGUAUGCGACCUGCCCCCCGCAGGGGGAUAACCGGGAGAAAUCCCGACUAAUACCGCGUAACGCCGCGGACCUGCAUGGGUCUGCGGCCAAAGGAAGCGAUUCCGGCGGGGGAUGGGCAUGCGGCGCAUUAGCUAGUCGGCGGGGUAGCGGCCCACCGAGGCGACGAUGCGUAGGGGUUCUGAGAGGAAGGUCCCCCACACUGGUACUGAGACACGGACCAGACUCCUACGGGAGGCAGCAG